rnacentral:rRNA from 1 species
UUACAACUUUCAACAACGGAUCUCUUGGUUCUGGCAUCGAUGAAGAACGCAGCGAAAUGCGAUACGUAGUGUGAAUUGCAGAAUUCAGUGAAUCAUCGAAUCUUUGAACGCACAUUGCGCCCUUUGGUAUUCCAAAGGGCAUGCCUGUUCGAGCGUCAU